UGUGUACAGAGUGGAUAGACUUUCUCAAGAGAUGAGAGCUACGAACCCCGUUAAGAGUCAGAGAGGCCUAUGGGUGAUUGUGAGGGGAAGCCUGUGGACUCUUGUCCACAGCACAGCAGCACAGCUGAACAUUGGCAUAGAGAUUAUGAAGGCUGAAUGGAGAAUUCAAAGCAUCUAUAUCCUGCCACAUCCUUAAAAUCACCAUUAAUAUUCCUUCAGCAAAUAUUUAGUGAUGGGUUCUUAGUGUUGUCUCAUAGGGAUCACAGGGACAUGAAAGUUGUACACAGCUGGCAGAACUAUUAACACAAAAGCCCCUUCAUUUUGUGGGUGGGAGGAGAACACCAA
rnacentral:lncRNA from 1 species